rnacentral:rRNA from 1 species
UAGAUAUACACAAGAACCCCGAUUGCGGAGACAGCUUACUAAAGCCAUAACCGACGCUGAGGCACGAAAGCGUGGGGAGCGAACAGGAUUAGAUACCCUGGUAGCCCACGCUGUAAACGAUGUUCACUCGCUGUUGCGAUACACAGUAAAGCGGCUGAGCGAAAGCAUUAAGUGAACCACCUGGGGAGUACGAUCGCAAGGUUGAAACUCAAAAGGAAUUGACGGGGGCCCGCACAAGCGGAGGAACAUGUGGUUUAAUUCGAUGAUACGCGAGGAACCUUACCUGGGCUUAAAUGUAGACUGCAUAGGAUGGAAACAUUCUUUCCCUUCGGGGCUGUUUACAAGGUGCUGCAUGGUUGUCGUCAGCUCGUGCCGUGAGGUGUCGGGUUAAGUCCCAUAACGAGCGCAACCCUUACCGUUAGUUGCCAACAGGUCAAGCUGGGGACUCUAGCGGGACUGCCACCGUAAGGUGAGAGGAAGGUGGGGAUGACGUCAAAUCAGCACGGCCCUUAUGUCCAGGGCUACACACGUGUUACAAUGGCCGGUACAGAGGGCAGCUACCACGCAAGUGGGUGCCAAUCCCGAAAGCCGGUCCCAGUUCGGAUUGGAGUCUGCAACCCGACUUCAUGAAGUUGGAUUCGCUAGUAAUCGCGCAUCAGCCAUGGCGCGGUGAAUACGUUCCCGGGCCUUGUACACACCGCCCGUCAAACCAUGGGAGCUGGGGGUGCCUGAAGUCUGUGACCGUUAAGGAGCGGCCUAGGGUAAAACCAGUGACUGGGGUUAAGUCGUAACAAGGUA